GGUUGGAUGUUGAGGGAAGGUUGGAUGUUGAGGGAAGGUUGGAUGUUGAGGGAAGGUUGGAUGUUGAGGGAAGGUUGGAUGUUGAGGGAAGGUUGGAUGUUGAGGGAAGGUUGGAUGUUGAGGGAAGGUUGGAUGUUGAGGGAAGGUUGGAUGUUGAGGGAAGGUUGGAUGUUGAGGGAAGGUUGGAUGUUGAGGGAAGGUUAGGGUUGAGGGAAGGUUAGAUGUUGAGGGAAGGUUAGGGUUGGAUGUUGAGGGAAGGUUAGUUUUAGAUGUUGAGGGAAGGUUCGUUUUAGAUGUUGAGGGAAGGUUAGUUUUAGAUGUUGAGGGAAGGUUAGAUGUUGAGGGAAGGUUAGAUUUAGAUGUUGAGGGAAGGUUAGAUUUAGAUGUUGAGUGAAGGUUAGAUGUUGAGUGAAGGUUAGGGUUGAGGGAAGGUUAGGGUUGAGGGAAGGUUAGGGUUGGAUGUUGAAGGAAGGUUAGGGUUGGGGAAGGUUAGUUUUAGAUGUUGAGGGAAGGUUAGGGUUGGAUGUUGAGGGAAGGUUAGGGUUGAGGGAAGAUUAGGGGACGGUUAGUUUUAGAUGUUGAGGGACGGUUAGUUUUAGAUGUUGAGGGACGGUUAGUUUUAGAUGUUGAGGGAAGGUUAGGGUUGAGGGAAGGUUAGUUUUAGAUGUUCAGGGAAGGUUAGGGUUGAGGGAAGGUUAGGGUUACAGUAUUUGAUACUAUACUACUGAUGUAUUUUGACUUGUUACACACUACCACACACUCUACCACACACUCUACCGCACACUCUACCGCACACACUACCACACACACUACCACACACUCUACCGCACACACUACCGCACACACUACCACACACACUACCACUACCACACACACUACCACUACCACACACACUACCACUACCCCAGUCAGAAUUUGUCUCAGUGAAUCCCUUUGGUUGUUGAGGGAAGAUGAAUCUGAACAUGAUGUAUUUAUGUAGACUCCUUUCGAUCUCUACCUGUGUGUGUUUGUGGUUAAACGUUUUACCUACCUGGGGUUCAAAUACUUUCUAAAAGUCGUUUGAAAUUAUUUGAGCGUUUGCUUCAGUCUGCCUCGAAUGCCAGAUGGCCAGGGUUUGUACUUUUGGGACUUUUCUAUUUAUUUAUUUAUUUUAAUGUCGAGAAGCUCAAUCAAGCCUAGAUACUUUUUCUGAAAUUAUGUCGAAUAGUAUUUGAACCCGGGCCUACUACCUGUACUCACACUGAGUGCACAAAACAUUAAGAACACCUGCUCUUUCCAUGACAUAGACUGACCAGGUGAAUCCAGGUGAAAACUAUGAUCCCUUAUUGAUGUUACCUGUUGAAUCCACUUCAAUCAGUGUAGAGGAAGGGGAGGAGACGGGUUAAAGAAGGAUGUUUAAGCCCUGAGACAAUGGCGACAUGGGUUGUGUCUGUGUGCCAUUCAGAGGGUGAAAGGUCAAGACAAAAUAUUGAAGUGCUUUUGAACAGGGUAUGAUAGUACGUUCCAGGCGCACCGGUUUGUGUCAAUGUAACAGUAUAACUUUAGUCCGUCCCCUCACCCAUACCCGGGCUCGAACCAGGGACCCUUUGCACACAUCAACAACAGACACCCUCGAAGCAUCGUUACCCAUCACUACACAAAAGCUGCGGCCCUUGCAGAGCAAAGGGGGAAUAACUACUUCAAGGUCUCAGAGCGAGUGACGUCACCGAUUUGAAACGCUAUUAGCGCGCACCACCGCUAACUAGCUAGCUAUUUCACAUCGGUUACAUCAAGAACUGUAAGGCUGCUAGGUUUUUCAGUUUCCCAUAUGUAUCAAGAAUGGUCCGACACCCAAAGGAGUCAACAUUAGGAAGGUGUUCUUAAUAUUUAGUAUGCUCAGUACUCAACAUUAGGAAGGUGUUCUUAAUAUUUAGUAUGCUAGGUACUCAACAUUAGGACGGUGUUCUUAAUAUUUAGUAUGCUAGGUACUCAACAUUAGGACGGUGUUCUUAAUAUUUAGUAUGCUAGGUACUCAACAUUAGGACGGUGUUCUUAAUAUUUAGUAUGCUAGGUACUCAACAUUAGGAAGGUGUUCUUAAUAUUUUGUAUGCUCAGUAGUCCACAUUAGGAAGGUGUUCUUAAUAUUUUGUAUACUCAGUGUAUUUUAUGUGUUCUAUUCAUAUGAAGGGGAGAUAUGGUAUUUGUCCCAAACAGCACCCUUAUUUAUUUAACCAGGCAAGUCAGUUCAGAACAAAUUCUUAUUUUCAAUGACGGCCUAGGAACAGUGGGUUAACUGCCUGUUCAGGGGAGAACAACAGAUUUGUAACUUGUCAGCUCGGGGGUUUGAACUUGCUUGAGUCCAACGCUCUAACCACUAGGCUACCUUGCCGCCCCAACCCUAUUCCCUAUAUAGUGCACUAACUACUAGAGUACCAUUUGAGACGGCUACCAUUACGUUGAUUCUAACAACAUGAUCAGGGUACUUGGUUUGCCUCUUGGUUUUAUGUUGAAACGUUAACAGUUUUUAUUUAUUCAUAAUGACAUUGUUACUGGGAUACCGACUCGUUUUUUUCUCAUCUUGAUUUUGUUUUGUUGACAGCGGAGUGGAAUGUAUAUAUGUGUACAGAGGAGGAAUCGUGUUUCAUGAUGACGUUUACAUUUAUUAAUAUGUCGAUAUUUUACUGUGUAUCUGUCCCAAAUGGCGCUCUUAUUCCCAAUUUAGUGCACUACUUUUAAAGGGAAUGGGAUGCCAUUUUGGACGUAUUGUGUGUAUCUCUGACUGUGAACUACAACUGUGUGUGUUUUCUAAAUGCUGCUGGGGACUACUGCAUUAUGUGGAAGUAAAAUAUUUUAAAUCUGG